CAGAGAGAGAGACGUCAGAGAGAGAGACAAAAGAGAGAGAGACAGCAGAGAGAGAGACAGCAGAGAGAGAGACAGCAGAGUGGACUCUGACUCUGAGCUCAGAGCUUGGUGUUUUCCCACGCUGCCUGCUGUCAGUGAAGCAGACAUGUCAUACCAGGACACAGCCGGGUCGGACGACAGCCAGGACUCCUUCUACUCCUCCAGAGGCCUCCAAACCGUCAUCGUACACGGACCGGACGAGCCCCCAAAACCUCCAGGAUCCUGAUCCAAAAACCAUCUGCUGCUUUCAGCACAAAGGUCACUUUGUAAUUAAAGUUAUUAAGCAUGAA